rnacentral:rRNA from 1 species
GACGAAGGGGGCUAGCGUUGUUCGGAAUUACUGGGCGUAAAGGGCUCGUAGGCGGCCAACUAAGUCAGACGUGAAAUCCCUAGGCUCAACCUAGGAACUGCGUCUGAUACUGGAUGGCUUGAAUCCGGGAGAGGGAUGCAGAAUUCCAGGUGUAGCGGUGAAAUGCGUAGAUAUCUGGAGGAAUACCGGUGGCGAAGGCGGCAUCCUGGACCGGCAUUGACGCUGAGAGCGAAGCCAGGGAG